GCAGACACAUUCCAGCCAAUCAGCAGCAGACCCUCCCUCCCAGACCCUCCCACCUCCUGGACAGCUCACUAAGAAUGCAGCUUCACAAUGAAUGUAAAAUGGAUGCUGUCCAGGAGGUGGGAGGGUCUGGGAGGGAGGGUCUGCUGCUGACUGGCUGGAAUGUGUCUG